rnacentral:rRNA from 1 species
AUUGAACGCUGGCGGCAUGCCUUACACAUGCAAGUCGAACGGCAGCACGGGAGCAAUCCUGGUGGCGAGUGGCGAACGGGUGAGUAAAGUAUCGGAACGUGCCCAGUCGUGGGGGAUAACGUAGCGAAAGUUACGCUAAUACCGCAUACGAUCUAUGGAUGAAAGCGGGGGAUCGCAAGACCACGCGCGAUUGGAGCGGCCGAUAUCAGAUUAGGUAGUUGGUGGGGUAAGGGCUCACCAAGCCGACGAUCUGUAGCUGGUCUGAGAGGACGACCAGCCACACUGGGACUGAGACACGGCCCAGACUCCUACGGGAGGCAGCAGUGGGGAAUUUUGGACAAUGGGCGAAAGCCUGAUCCAGCCAUGCCGCGUGCAGGAUGAAGGCCUUCGGGUUGUAAACUGCUUUUGUACGGAACGAAAAGGUUUGGCCUAAUAAGCUGAGCUCAUGACGGUACCGUAAGAAUAAGCACCGGCUAACUACGUGCCAGCCGCCGCGGUAA